CGCGGGAUUAGAGUUUGAUCAUGGCUCAGAUUGAACGCUGGCGGCAGGCCUAACACAUGCAAGUCGAGCGCGAAAGCACUUCGGUGUGAGUAGAGCGGCGGACGGGUGAGUAAUGCUUGGGAAUCUGCCCAGUAGUGGGGGAUAACGUGUGGAAACGCACGCUAAUACCGCAUACGUCCUACGGGAGAAAGCAGGGGAUCUUCGGACCUUGCGCUAUUGGAUGAGCCCAAGUCGGAUUAGCUAGUUGGUGGGGUAAUGGCCUACCAAGGCGACGAUCCGUAGCUGGUCUGGGAGGAUGAUCAGCCACACUGGGACUGAGACACGGCCCAGACUCCUACGGGAGGCAGCAGUGGGGAAUAUUGCACAAUGGGCGAAAGCCUGAUGCAGCCAUGCCGCGUGUGUGAAGAAGGCUCUAGGGUUGUAAAGCACUUUCAGUAGGGAGGAAAUGUUGUUGAUUAAUACCCAACAAUCUUGACGUUACCUACAGAAGAAGCACCGGCAAACUCCGUGCCAGCAGCCGCGGUAAUACGGAGGGUGCGAGCGUUAAUCGGAAUUACUGGGCGUAAAGCGCGCGUAGGUGGUUUGAUAAGCUAGCUGUGAAAGCCCCGGGCUUAACCUGGGAACUGCAGUUAGAACUGUCUGACUAGAGUACUGUAGAGGGGGGUAGAAUUUCA
rnacentral:rRNA from 1 species